AUUGAACGCUGACGGCAGGCCUAACACAUGCAAGUCGAACGAGUGGCGUACGGGUUAUUCAUGUCCGGGACCCUGCCCGAUGGAUGGCUAUACCUACUCGAAACUGUAGCUACUUCCGCAUACCUUCGCAUGUGCCCAGAUGGGAUUAGCUUGGUGGUGGGGUAACGGAUCACCAAGGUGACGAUCCCUAGCUGGUCUGCGAGGAGGACCAGCCACACUGGAACGGAGACACGGUCCAGACUCCUACGGGAGGCAGCAGUGGGGAAUAUUGGACAAUGGGCGAAAGCCUGAUCCAGCCAUGCCGCGUGUGUGAAGAAGGACUUCGGAUUGUAAAGCACUUUAAGUUGGGAGGCGUUACCAACAGAAUAAGCACCGGCUAACUACGUGCCAGCAGCCGCGGUAAUUC
rnacentral:rRNA from 1 species